rnacentral:sRNA from 1 species
UACAACGCCUUAUCUU